rnacentral:rRNA from 1 species
AACGAACGCUGGCGGCAGGCCUAACACAUGCAAGUCGAGCGGACCCUUCGGGGUUAGCGGCGGACGGGUGAGUAACGCGUGGGAAUAUGCCCUUCUCUACGGAAUGGUCCUGGGAAACUGGGGGUAAUACCGUAUACGCCCUUUGGGGGAAAGAUUGAUCGGGGCAGGAUUAGACCGCGUUGGAUUAGGUAGUUGGUGGGGUAAUGGCCGACCAAGGCGACGAUCCAUAGCUGGUUUGAGAGGAUGAUCAGCCACACUGGGACUGAGACACGGCCCAGACUCCUACGGGAGGCAGCAGGGGGGAAUCUUAGACAAUGGGGGCAACCCUGAUCCAGCCAUGCCGCGUGAGUGAUGAAGGCCUUAGGGUUGUAAAGCUCUUUCAGCUGGGAAGAUAAUGACGGUACCAGCAGAAGAAGCCCCGGCUAACUCCGUG